CAGCCGCCACGGUAAUACGGAGGGUGCAAGCGUUAAUCGGAAUUACUGGGCGUAAAGCGCACGCAGGCGGUCUGUCAAGUCAGAUGUGAAAUCCCCGGGCUUAACCUGGGAACUGCAUUUGAAACUGGCAGGCUAGAGUCUUGUAGAGGGGGGUAGAAUUCCAGGUGUAGCGGUGAAAUGCGUAGAGAUCUGGAGGAAUACCGGUGGCGAAGGCGGCCCCCUGGACAAAGACUGACGCUCAGGUGCGAAAGCGUGGGGAGCAAACAGGAUUAGAGACCCGUGUAGUCCCUGUCUCUUAUAC
rnacentral:rRNA from 1 species